CCAGGAAAUAGUUUGGUGCAUCGCGGAAAUAAACAUGGUAAAAUUCUACCGCUCAUAAGGUUAAAGACAAUACCGAGGAAAUUAUACAUUGACUAUUUGCAAACAUGCAGGAACGACUCGAACGGUUCGAUCAAGUCUCGAUAUUUCUCAUACUAUUUGUCGCGGUCGGAUGGAAUUUCGAUGUUUGUGUCCAAGUUGCGAUCGCUCAAGAGGAUGGAAUUGAAGAUAUUAUAACUGGAUUGAAUCCCACCUGUGUUUUGGAACUCAAAGAAAUCGCCUUUUUUCUGUACAACAGAAAAGAACCGGAUGGCGUCAUCAUCGAUCUGGAAAGCGGCGAUAUCCCUGUCAAACAAAAUGUUAUGACGUAUUUUGUGGUUCACGGUUUUACCUCAGAAGCCAACAAUUCUCGAUAUUUAACCCUUAUAGAUAUCUUAGUUGACAAGUACAAUUACAACGUGUUCUCCGUCAAUUGGAGAGACGGUGCUUGUUCCGGUGGGAUUCCACUCACGCAGAUAUUGGGGUAUCCUCGAGCAGCCAGAAACACCAAGAUCGUGGGAUGGGCCAUAGCCAAAUUUAUCGACCGGCUGAUCCGAGAAUUCGGGCUCAGACUCAGGAACAUGGUCAUUGUCGGGCAUAGUUUGGGUGCUCAGGUCGCCGGGGCUGCCGGAAAACAACUUCAACUUGGACGAACGGGAUUGCCACCGCUUAUAAUAGGUUUAGAUCCCGCGGGACCAGGGUUUGAAUUUAACAGUUGUUCUAACAGAAUAUGCGCCUCAGACGCCAGGAUAGUAGAGAUAUUGCACACUUCGUAUACGUUCGGUAUGCACAGACCGAUCGGAGACGUCGAUUUCUAUCUCAAUGGCGGCACGAUCCAGCCUCUGUGCCCUGCGCUGGAAAUCACGUGCUCCCACUCCAGUGCGAUUACUUAUUUGAUCUACAUCAUGCAAAAUCCGGACUGCAAAUUCAUCGGAAGACGCUGGGUCUGGUCGAGCUUUUUCCCCCCUUCAAAAUAUACACCGUGCAGACCGUCGACAUGCCCCGCGGUUGGACCAAAUAUCGCCAAUUACUCGACGCGCGGUGUUUUUUACGUUGACACGUCGGAACUUCCUUCGAAAUGCGCUGCUUUGAAACUGUGACGAACCACUGCGUCUGUAACAUUCAGAUCGACACGCACACAUCCAAUAUCGACAUGAUUAUAUCGUAUAGUAUUUUUGGUUUGCCGGUGAAUAUUUCGUACAAGAAGACAAGGAAGCUCAGGAGUAAGCCGAUUAGUAGAAUGAAAAAAGUCCCCUGCACCUGAUUGGCUGACAUUCUGACUGGACCGGAAUUUCCGUGAUUCCCUGGGGGAAAUAAAAGUUUUUAAAAGUA